GUGCCAGCAGCCGCGGUAAUACGAAGGGUGCAAGCGUUACUCGGAAUUACUGGGCGUAAAGCGUGCGUAGGUGGUUUGUUAAGUCUGAUGUGAAAGCCCUGGGCUCAACCUGGGAAUUGCAUUGGAUACUGGCAGGCUAGAGUGCGGUAGAGGAUGGCGGAAUUCCCGGUGUAGCAGUGAAAUGCGUAGAGAUCGGGAGGAACAUCUGUGGCGAAGGCGGCCAUCUGGACCAGCACUGACACUGAGGCACGAAAGCGUGGGGAGCAAACAGGAUUAGAUACCCCCGUAGUCC
rnacentral:rRNA from 1 species